GAUGAACGCUGGCGGCGUGCCUAAUACAUGCAAGUCGAGCGAACGGACGAGAAGCUUGCUUUUCUGAUGUUAGCGGCGGACGGGUGAGUAACACGUGGAUAACCUACCUAUAAGACUGGGAUAACUUCGGGAAACCGGAGCUAAUACCGGAUAAUAUUUUGAACCGCAUGGUUCAAAAGUGAAAGACGGUCUUGCUGUCACUUAUAGAUGGAUCCGCGCUGCAUUAGCUAGUUGGUAAGGUAACGGCUUACCAAGGCAACGAUGCAUAGCCGACCUGAGAGGGUGAUUGGCCACACUGGAACUGAGACACGGUCCAGACUCCUACGGGAGGCAGCAGUAGGGAAUCUUCCGCAAUGGGCGAAAGCCUGACGGAGCAACGCCGCGUGAGUGAUGAAGGUCUUCGGAUCGUAAAACUCUGUUAUUAGGGAAGAACAUAUGUGCAAGUAACUGUGCACAUCUUGACGGUACCUAAUCAGAAAGCCACGGCUAACUACGUG
rnacentral:rRNA from 1 species